CAGGAUUCGACAUGCCCUCUUUGGACUCCCGAAAAGGAGUCCUUCAUUUAGUUGGGAGGAGCACAGGUGCUGCAUGGCUGUCGUCAGCUCGUGUCGUGAGAUGUUGGGUUAAGUCCCGCAACGAGCGCAACCCUCGUCCUCUGUUGCUAACAGGUUAGGCUGAGCACUCUGAGGAAACUGCCGGUGAUAAGCCGGAGGAAGGUGGGGAUGACGUCAAGUCCUCAUGGCCCUUACAUCCUGGGCUACACACGUGUUACAAUGGUGGUGACAAUGGGCAGCGAAGCCGCGAGGCGGAGCUAAUCUCCAAAAGCCACCUCAGUUCGGAUUGUACUCUGCAACUCGAGUACAUGAAGCUGGAAUCGCUAGUAAUCGUGGAUCAGCACGCCACGGUGAAUA
rnacentral:rRNA from 1 species